UACCCCAUUUGACCAAUGAGGGAACCGAGGCUCAGAGGCAUUAGGUAUCCUGCCCAGGGUCACACAGUCAGUCAGCAGGAGAGCCAGGACUUGGGCCCAGGCGCUGCCGCAGCUCCUCCUUCCCUGGGCUCUCACCGGCAUGAAGAGGCUGACGGUGGGAACUAAAGCGAUGUGGGCCGGGGAACUCCAGGUACGCCCGUAUCCUCUUUUCCCAUCCUGCCGCCCUCACUGCUGUUCCCAGUGUGCACCCCACUGCUUUCCCAGGAUGCCCCCCUCCCGCCCCCACAAAAGUUGGGGGAGGAUAAAGAGCACAUCCUUGGGAAGAACCUUCAGCACAGCCCGACUGGAUGCCUUUAACUAAGUCUGUGGGCGGGAGAGACCUUUUAUCCCUUGCAAGUUAAUGCAAACUGUUAGGGAGAUAAAUAAAUGACAGGGCUGCCGAUGGA